rnacentral:tRNA from 29 species
GGGUCGCUAGCUCAAUUGGCAGAGCUCCGGACUUUUAAUCCGUAGGUUGUGGGUUCGAGUCCCACGCGACCCACCA